UGGAUUGUGGCUCAAUGGUAGAGCACUCGCCUAGCACAUGGGAGGCCCUGGGUUCCAUCCUCAGCACCACAU
rnacentral:tRNA from 1 species